rnacentral:rRNA from 1 species
GACGAACGCUGGCGGCGUGCUUAACACAUGCAAGUCGAACGGAAAGGCCCUGCUUUUGUGGGGUGCUCGAGUGGCGAACGGGUGGGUAACACGUGAGUAACCUGCCCUUGACUUUGGGAUAACUUCAGGAAACUGGGGCUAAUACCGGAUAGGAGCUCCUGCUGCAUGGUGGGGGUUGGAAAGUUUCGGCGGUUGGGGAUGGACUCGCGGCUUAUCAGCUUGUUGGUGGGGUAGGUGCUUACCAAGGCUUUGACGGGUAGCCGGCCUGAGAGGGUGACCGGCCACAUUGGGACUGAGAUACGGCCCAGACUCCUACGGGAGGCAGCAGUGGGGAAUAUUGCACAAUGGGCGGAAGCCUGAUGCAGCAACGCCGCGUGCGGGAUGACGGCCUUCGGGUUGUAAACCGCUUUCGCCUGUGACGAAGCGUGAGUGACGGUAAUGGGUAAAGAAGCACCGGCUAACUACGUG